GCCUAAGGCUAUUGCCACCCUGAACAAGCUCGAAGUCUGAUCUCAGUAGCUAAGCAGGGUUGGGCCUGGUUAGUACUUGGAUGGGAAACCACCUAGGAAGACCAGGUGCUGUAGGUA
rnacentral:rRNA from 1 species